AUGAUGUUCGCCGACGAUGAGAACCCUGCUCCCUUGAACAAAGGGAGCACCAAGGGGCUAGUAAAGAUCAAGAAGCCGGCGUACAGCAGGGACGACGUGUCGCUGAAGGCCGACGAGGUGACGGCGGUGGUAGAGCUGAACGCCGCGCCCAGCGCCGUGGUGAGGGAGGGGCUGGACCUGGUGGUGGUGCUGGAUGUGAGCGGCAGCAUGGCGGCGGAGAAGCUUGUCAGCAUGAAGCAGGCGAUGCAGUUCGUGAUCAUGAAGCUCACCCCCGUGGACCGUCUCUCCAUCGUCACCUGCAACAACAGCGCCAAAAGGCACUGCGCGCUGCGCUCCAUGACGGUGGAUGCCCAGAAGGAGCUCAAGGCCGUGGUCGACGGCCUGGAGGCCUAUGGCGGGACCAACAUCAAGAGUGGCCUCGAGACGGCGCGGGCAAUCUUCGCCGCCCGCAACAUCGUAAAAUCCCGCAGCGCCAACGUCUUCCUCUUGUCCGACGGCCAGCAGACCGCCAACGAAGCCACGGAUGUGGAUCUUGGCAGCGCGGGAGUCUACACGUUCGGUCUCGGCAAGGACUCAGAUCACAAGCUGCUCAGCGACAUCGCCAAGAAAUCCCCCGGCGGGACGUUCAGCACCGUGGUGGACGGGUCGAACCUGACCAAGCCCUUCGCCCAGAUGCUGGGUGGCCUCCUCACCGUGGUCGCGCAGGACGUGCGGCUCAUCCUCACACCCAAGAAAGCGGACGGCCUGAAGGAUAUGGUGGUGCCCGAAGACACCGACUACACCAAGACCACGGACGCCGCCGGCGUCAUCACCAUCCACUUCGGCACCCUCUUCAGCGGAGAGUCGCGCAAGGUCACCGUCAAGAUGACGCUCUCGGAGUGCGCCGUCGGCACGACGCGCCAUGACGCGGUCUUGGCCGAGGCCCAACACAGCUACAGCGCCCAGUCGAUUGUGCAGGGUCUCCAAACCCCCGAGAACCUCAAGAUCUUCCGCACCCCGAACCCAGCCACCGUCGCCGGCAGCAAGGCGCGUUGGGUGCUGGCCGAGCUGGCGCGGCGGCGGCAGGCCGAGGCGAUCAGGAAGGCCAUGGCCCUGGCGGACACCGGUGACCUCGACGGGGCGCGCUACUUGCUUGUAGACGCGCAGAAUGCACUGGAGGACGUCUUGCUGGACGAUGGCCAGAAGCUGAUCGACUCGCUCCGCGCCGAGCUCGUGCAGCUCAUCAAGCUCAUGGCCUCCAAGCAACUCUACGAGGCGCAGGGCCGCCCCUACGCGCUCGCCUCCGAUACCUCCCAUGCCCGCCAGCGGUUCGCUGACAGGGGCGACGUCACGGACACCGUCCGCCUCUUCGCCACGCCGCGCAUGGACACGUACCUCGAGCAGGCCAAGCAGUUCGACAAGGACCCCACCAAGCCGCUGCCCUCCGCCGCCGAUGACGUCAAGGAAGAGAUCGCCGCCAACCCCAUGGCCGCCUUCUCCUCCGAGCUCGCCUUUUACCUCCGGAACGCAAUCGAGGCUCUGCAGGCCAUCGAGAAGAUGGUCGCCGCCCCCACCGCCACCGCCUAG
rnacentral:rRNA from 1 species